CGGGGUGUAGCGCAGUUGGUUAGCGCGCAGCGUUUGGGACGCUGAGGCCGGAGGUUCGAGUCCUCUCACCCCGACCA
rnacentral:tRNA from 1 species